ACGAUGAGAGCUCUUCGACGAAAGAAAAAUAAAAAAGAAGAUAGAUAUGAAAUACUACGAAGAGACCAUGUUUGAAAGUUUCUCUACGGUGGAUCAAUCCAUCGUCAGUGUUUAGCGGCUCGAGAUUCUACUUGCUUAGGGUUUCUCUAUCGCUGAUUUGUUCUAUCGACCCUAAACUCCAAUCAGUUGCUAAAAGAUCUGGAAUCACCUUCGAUUGGUUGAGAAGGAAAACCAAGAAUAUGAUGAGAGGGAGCGACAAGCUCGCAAGGAGAAGAAACUUGCCAAGGCAGAGGCAAAGAUUCUGAGAGGUCCACACGAGGAUCUUCAGAGCUAUCUUGAAGCAAUUGAUCAGCUGAGAAGCAACAUUCAGUAUUUCACUAACCACAAAAGUUUUAAAAGUACAGCUGGUGUACUUACCCAUGCCAAUAAUUUGCUGACAAAAGCUAUCUCAAAAUUAAAAGAUGAGUUUAAAAAUCUAUUAACAAACUACAGUGAGGUGGUGGAACAUGAACGCCUUUUCGAUGACCUGCCAGAUUCAUUGCGACCGUCAGCAUCACCUGCGAAGCGAGGUGAUAACAAGAAAGAUUCUGACACCAAAAGAACUUAGAAAAUGCUGUUUACACACCUCCUACUCUUAUACCUCCCAGGGUUCUACCUUUGUUGCGUAAUUUAUCCCAACAAAUGGUUCAAGUCGGCCACCAGCAACAGUUGUUCAGGAUUUACAGUGUGAACCUACUGGUGAACUGCUCUUCGAACUCGUAUCACAUUCAGUUUCCACCUUACCAGGAAAUGAC